GAUGAACGCUGGCGGCGUGCCUAAUACAUGCAAGUCGAGCGAACAGACGAGGAGCUUGCUCCUCUGACGUUAGCGGCGGACGGGUGAGUAACACGUGGAUAACCUACCUAUAAGACUGGGAUAACUUCGGGAAACCGGAGCUAAUACCGGAUAAUAUAUUGAACCGCAUGGUUCAAUAGUGAAAGACGGUUUUGCUGUCACUUAUAGAUGGAUCCGCGCCGCAUUAGCUAGUUGGUAAGGUAACGGCUUACCAAGGCAACGAUGCGCAGCCGACCUGAGAGGGUGAUCGGCCACACUGGAACUGAGACACGGUCCAGACUCCUACGGGAGGCAGCAGUAGGGAAUCUUCCGCAAUGGGCGAAAGCCUGACGGAGCAACGCCGCGUGAGUGAUGAAGGUCUUCGGAUCGUAAAACUCUGUUAUUAGGGAAGAACAAAUGUGUAAGUAACUAUGCACGUCUUGACGGUACCUAAUCAGAAAGCCACGGCUAACUACGUG
rnacentral:rRNA from 1 species